rnacentral:tRNA from 1 species
UGUCCCAUAGCUCAACUGGUGGAAGCAUCCGGCUGUUAACCGGAAGGUUGCUGGUUCGAACCCAGCUGGGACAG